GCUUGUUUAUAAAUAACAUUUCUGGUGUAAAGAAUAUUAUUUAUAAAAAAAAAAUAAUACAAAAAAAAAAAUUGAAGAAAUACAAAUCUAUUUACAUAUUUUUCCAAGGGUUAAUUUGGGAAAAUGUAAUAUAUACUCGUUGUCAAUAGUUUAGGACAGAUUGGAACAUACCAGAAUUAUUGAUUUAAAAAAAUGUGCGCACUUGUCGACGAUUCGUGUAUACAUACGCCUGGGUAGAAAGUUACGGAACUAUAGUCAGUAGCGCAAUUUAAAAUAUGUAUACAUGUAUACAUUGAACAUAAGAAAGAAACAUACAUUUUGUGUAAAUUGUGGUAAAAGUUUUGUAAAUAGACUAGUCCACGUAUGCCAACAGUAUGUAAUCAACGAAUUCGAUAGACUAUUGUAUACCAAAAGAAGAAGAAGAAAAAAAAGAAACAAUUUGAUUUAAAUACAGGUCAAUUUAUAACUUGCUUUGGUUCAUCGAAGUUAAGAACAUAGUAAACUCACAGAUUUAUAUAUCAAUUAGAUUGUUCUCGAAUAAAGGACGAAAUUUGUCAUCAUCACAAUUGUUCCAACAUUCAUGUAAAAUAUAUGCAACUGGACGUACACUAAUAAUCCCCAA
rnacentral:lncRNA from 1 species